rnacentral:rRNA from 1 species
UACGAAGGGGGCUAGCGUUGCUCGGAAUCACUGGGCGUAAAGGGUGCGUAGGCGGGUCUUUAAGUCAGGGGUGAAAUCCUGGAGCUCAACUCCAGAACUGCCUUUGAUACUGAAGAUCUUGAGUUCGGGAGAGGUGAGUGGAACUGCGAGUGUAGAGGUGAAAUUCGUAGAUAUUAGGAAGAACACCAGUGGCGAAGGCGACUACCUGGCCUGUUCUUGACGCUGAGGCGCGAAAGCUAGGGGAGCAAACGGG